GACAUGGUAGCACAGCACACUUCACCACGGUAAUAAGAUGGUAAUAGUGGGGUAACAGUGUGAUAAUGAAGAGGUAACAUAGGUAAUAACUGGGUAAUACAUCACAAUAAUAAGAUGUAAUACUGGGGUAGUAAGGUGAUAAGAAGGUAACAGAUGUAAUAACAUGCAAUUACCAAGGUA